rnacentral:rRNA from 1 species
UACGGAAGGUGCAAGCGUUGCUCGGAAUCACUGGGCGUAUAGGGUGCGUAGGCGGCUUGGUAAGUUGGGGGUGAAAGCCCCGGGCUCAGCCCGGGAAGGGCACUCGAAACUGCCGAGCUGGAGUGCCGGAGGGGAGAGUGGAAUUCCUGGUGUAGCGGUGAAAUGCGUAGAUAUCAGGAGGAAUACCGGUGGCGAAAGCGACUCUCUGGACAGUUACUGACGCUGAUGCACGAAGGCCAGGGGAGCAAACGGG